AUCCAGCUGACGAGUCCCGAACAGGACGAAACGCGCGUCCUGGAU
rfam:Schistosoma mansoni strain Puerto Rico chromosome 1, complete genome